GCCAAUCAGCGACUAGCUUUUCAAAACGCUUAGCUUAAAAUGUGAAGAAAACUCGUGAGCUAGCUGGACGAUUAGCUUGACGAGCUAACAACCCACACUGUUUUAUCAAGGAAUACCUUGGAUACAUCGUUUUGUGCAAGUUGGUAAUAGGUGCUUUUGAUUUAUCGGUUCUUUUUCGAAAGAACAGUGGUACUUUGGAGAAACUGAAGCGAUUGUUUAAUGCUACUUUAGCUAACCAGCUAGCAAAUGGCUUUGUUGCUGUCCUUAACUGAAAAGAUCAAACAUUACAGCGAGAUGAGACCACAUGGAUCAGAAAAGGGAACACAAGUCAACCAUCUGGAAGUGGAAGGAUGCUGUGCUGUGGGAUUUCGUAGGCCUCCUUAAGAAAGAUUGUCAACUCACUGAACCGGAGACCAGCUCCUUCAUUGCUCAAGAUGGGCGAGUUCAAGGACAUGGUUAGGCAGAAUGUUCGAGCCAUUGUGGACAUGAUGAACAAAUGUAUCCUGCCAGCAAAAGUUUUCCCUUCAUAAUGCUUGGAAGAACUCAGACCGGAGAGCAGGCAGACUCAUGGCCAGAAAACCCUGCCAGCCCUGCAGCAGCACCCACCGGUACAGUCACAGGACCAAAGUUCAGCCUCCACCUGCUGCACACGGCGCCUGUCCCUGAUCCCUGAGCUGCAGCAAUGCUACCCGUAGUAACCCAAUGCUGAGACACAUUUCCACCUAUAUCUGCCUCCUACUCUCUACCAUCAUGACCCAAAGAUCUAUCUGGGAAUUACCAGCCUGCAGGUUUUACACCACAGGUGGACAAGGUGUUGACCAGAAGUGAUUAUCACCAACAUCGACAGUGUUGCAGCUGCGUGUCAUUCACAGAUCAAACAUAGAUGACCACUGUGUACCUUUGCAAGACCUCAUGCUGCUCUACAGCUGUACUUUAAGCUAAUUGCUGGUGAGCAACACAGGAGGAGGUCCAGUUUUGCUAAAUUAAUCUUCAAAUAAAUGUUAGCUUUACUGUCAUCACCACAAAUGUUCCAGACAAACUGCAGUAAAUAUGCACAAACACGAGCAUAUAUAUUUCUAAUGGUCCUUGUCAUAAAAUCCAACUGUUCAGUAAUCCCUUUGAGUCGGAGCAGUCGCGUACAUCACAGUAAUGGCUUUACUGAGGCUGUUUUGUAGAGGUGACUGGAGGGGUUGACAGUGCCUGUGGAGUCCUCUGAAGGGAUUGCACUUUUUGUGAUUGCCUUGCAUCAUCAGAGGCCACAACUCAUCUUAAAUAUCUACAUGUUCUCUGUGGUUCUGUCAGCCAGCAGUGGGCCUUGGGCUCGGCAAUGUGUGCAUUUGCUUAAAGUUGCAGCUGGGCAGUAUGACAUGAAAUUCAUAUCAAAAUAGUCUUAUAGCCAAGUAAUAAUAAAAGCAAUUAUAUUGUAACACCCGAGAGAAAGAUGCUCAGCAACAUCGUCUGACAAUUUCUCAGGCACUUUUUGCACCGCAUGACCUUCAAGAUCCUGCUGGUCAACAACAUGAGAUAUGGGCAGCUGCAAGCUUAAUAACACUGGAAAUUCUCUAUUGGCCUCAGACCCUCAAAUAUCAGAUAAACAAGUAUUGUCAGGUGUGUUUAUAUAUGUAUAUGAAACAAUCUUAUUAAACAGAGUGGGCGUUGGCCAGACAA